AGGACAGUUUGAUCUUUGAGGAUGUAACUGUAUACUUUUCCUGGAGGAGUGGAAACUUCUAGAUAAGACACAGAGACUUCUGUAUCACGAUGUGAGGCUGGAGAACUUUGCUCAUGUGGCCUCGCUGGGACUUGUACCCUCCAGGAUUCAUGUACUUGUCCAUCUUGAACUGGAAGAACAAGUUUGGGUGCCCAACAAGGCAGGCACGACACCUGCUAUAGCAAGACAGCCCUGGAGGGGAACUGGCUCUGGUUUUUGGUUUCAAGUGGAGGCUGAGGAGGCACUUUAUCAAGGACGAUCAAAGAUCAAGACUCCCACAGCUGAUCCAGUUGUCCAGAAAACCUACCCUUGUGGGAUGUGUGCCUCAGUCAUGAAACGUAUCUUUCUGCAGGCUGAGCAACAGGGACUACAUUCCAGGCACAAACUGCAUACAUGUGGGGCAUGUGGAAGACAGUUCUCCUUUGGUAUAAGCAUCCCCCAACAUCAGCACAAUGGAAGGAAAGACUUCAGUGGUGAUUAGGAAUGGGACUCCUAUAUUCAGAACUACAGGGUCCCUAUGCUAGAGAUUCCUUUCAUAUGUGAAGAGGGUGGGAAAACUCAGAUCUACUCCAGCAUGAGACCAUGCCCAACGAAGGGAACUUACUCAUAAACUCCGAGUGCUGGCAAGCCUCUUAUGUUGGAGGGAGUAUUACAGAGGCAGUGGAUAUGAGGAAACUUUUAGCAAGAAAAGUAGGUUUCUUGAUUACCAGAGUGUUCAUGAUGGAGAAAGGCCUCACAAGUGCACUGAAUGUGGGAAAACUUAUGUCAGAAGAGCCCAUCUUGUUAGACAUAAGAAAAUUCACACUGGAGGAAGACUUUAGUCGUGUAAUGAGUGUGGGGAAACCUUCAGCAGAAGAUACUUUCUUGAACAAUUUCACUCUGGGGAAAGACCCUACGCCUGUAGCAGUUAUGGGAAAGCCCAUGACAGGAGACACUUCUUCAGCGUGAGGGAGUCCACAAUGGAAAGAAGUCUUAUGGGUACAGCAAGUGUGGCAAAUUGUUUAGUUAUAACUCCGGCCUUGUACGUCAGAGAGCUCAGCUCACAGUGAGGUGAGUGCUAAUGAGUGCAGUGAUGGUGGGAAAUGCUUUAACCGUUAUUCUGACCUUACUAUACACCACAAAGUUCACAUUACACCAGGGCCUUAUAAAUGCAACGAAUGUGGGAAAGCCUUCAGCCACAAACACAGACUUCUUCAACAUCAGAGAGUUCACACUAAGACUUUAUGAAGGUACUGAAUGUGGGAAAGCCUUUAGCAGGAAGUGCAGACUUGUUGAGUACCAUAAAAUCCACAGUAAUGCAAGUCCUUAUGAAUGCAGUGAAUGUGGGAAAUCCUUUCAACAAAGCUAUGGCCUUAUUCAACAUCGGAAAAUUCACACGGGCUCAAAACCUUUUAAGUGUGGUGUAUGUGAAAAAUUCUUUAGCUAUAAAAACACACUUGCUCGGCAUCAGAGAAUCCACACUGGAGAAAGACUUUAGUGUGCAGAGCGUGGAAAGUUCUUCAGCCAAAGCUCUGACCUUAUUUCACCAGAGAAAGACCAUAUGAGUGUGUUCACUGUGGGAAAUGUUUUAGCCAAAGGUCCACCCUCAACUUGCACCAGAGAGUUCACACUGGAGAAAGACCUUAUAAAUGCAGUGAAUGUGGAAAAAACUUUAGCCUUAAAUUAACACUUGUUCAACACCAGAGACUCCAUACGGAGAAAAACCUUAUGAGUGCAGUGAAUGUGCAAAAUUCUUCACCCACAAAUCCAGCCUCCUUAAACACCCAUGGAAUCACACUGGAGGAAACCUUAAUACAAUGGCUUUCCUUCCUUUGCGGCCAGGAAGCUGACUUUGAAGCCUUGGAGUGCAGGGAGCAUGUUACCUGCUAGGUCAACGUAAUGACACCUGAGUGUGGCCUUUGUGAAGUAGCCAUGGACCUCAAGUUAACUGUCCCAUCUGGACACAUUCCCUGUGGGUGACAGGUAUAUGAGGUGCUUGAUUGCACUUUGUGAUCUGCCUGAGACCCUUGCCUGAGUUGCAUCACUCUCAGUAUCUGUGGCUGAAGCCAUCUCACUUCUAGCAGCCAGCAUGCAUCAGGUUGCACCAUGCUCAGAGAAGCCUGACAUGUUUACUAUCUCCUGCUUAUUUUCCUGAAGGCAGUCAUGCAGAAUAUGAAAUCCUCAGACUUUGCUAUAAGUAGAUCCACACAUUGGAUGUGGUUAUAGAACUGGGGUUGGCAAAUACAAGAGAGUCACCAUCUAGGUGUGCUUCUGGAAAUGCUCUGUUCACUCUAGCUGUGAGACAUGAGCAUAUACAGGUAGUUUUAGGACUUCGCUGGUUGUUUCUCUGUAGAUGUUGCUAUCUUAGCAAAUAUUCUAAUGUUUCUAGGUUAUCAGAGCUACACAGACAAGAAAGUGUAACUAGAAGAGGAAAGACAUGAUAAUCCAAGCAUGUGACUUGGAAUUCAAAAUCAUCUUUUAUUGCCCAAAAUGCUUUGCUCCCUUUGAAGUAUUUCCAUGUCUUCCAAAGGGUGAGGAUAAUUAAGGUGGAACCUGUUUGAGUUUGCCAAACUUCCUAAUUUUCCAGAGAAGCCGACUUUUAUAUUGAACUAUUUCUUUUAAGCUCUGUUGGGGUAGAACUGAUGUGUCCUAAGUAUGAAAUGUAGGUUUUAGCUAAUGUAUAAACCCAUGAAAUCAUCACUGCAAUCCUGACGAUGUAUUCAUCACCCAUAACAUUCCUUCCCAUUAUUAGUCUUUCUCUCUGUUAGAGUUCAGACCUACAGCAACUCCCUCCCCAAUGCGGCAGGGUCUCAGGGUUUGCAGGCCCCUGAGGAUGCAGGAGUUGAUGAGCACCCUGGUCUUUGAAGUCAAGAGAAGCAGCUUUUUCUGCACCUUUUGGCCAAAAGCAGCAGGCUUUCCCUUUGAUUAACAGAUUCCACCUUUUGACCAGAGACCCAAGGAGUUGCUUCGGCACAACAGGUUUUCUCUUUGAUGAUCUUAAAGGGUAAACAGACAUCUCUUGACCCAGAUCCUGGCUGAUGGAUGGAAGGGGGUGGUUUUUAACAGAAGCUGUUCUGAUAAGCCCUGGGCUCCCGCUCUCCUGCUUCCCCCUGCCUAAUUUUAAAGAAUAUGUUCACGCCUUCUGCAUCUCCCAAAGCCCCCUAUAAAGACCGCAGCCCACGACCCCGUGGGCUGACAUUUUCCCUACCCUGAAGGGAAUUUGUCCCAUGCGAAGUUUCCUUUGCUAAUAAACUCUGUCCCACUGGAGUUUUUAUCUGUGUCCUGGUGCUUUCUCCCAAUUGACCCGAUUCAUCUAUCCAUUUCAUCUGUCACUCUCUUUUCCUAACUGCCCAUUUCUGCAACCAUUGAUUUACUUUGGCUAUAGAUUUGUUUUCCUUUUCUAGAUGUUUAUGUAAAUGAAGUGUCUUUUUUCCUUCAUGCAAUCAUAAAGAGCUCUUCAUUAGAAUUUGAGUACUUGAUUGU